rnacentral:misc_RNA from 1 species
CAACAAGGCCAAACCGUCCAAUUCACAGCACCCACACAUGUAGGUCUCGCCAUCCCCCCAUCCUCCCUCCUCCUCAGCGGUGCACCCCGCAUUCACACGCAGGGGCGCAUAAGCAGACCUUCACACCUAAGCUCAUCAUUCCUUGUCACCACCCGCACCGCUCGCCCACUUCUCUGUGAGCCGGUGUCUUGUGUCCUGGUGAGGUGGUGGGUGGGAGCAGAGCACCUUGCGUUUCUCAUCACCUUCCUUUUCCCUCGAGUGUUCUUUUGUCGGUGUGGCGGAACUCCGUGCUUCCUGCUCUGCCUUCUGUUUCAGCCUCCGUGUGCUUCGUUGAUUUGUCACCUUCCAUUCCAUCAGUGCGGCACUGCUCCCCGCCCUCCUUCUCCGCCCUCCUUUCUUUGAUCCGCUAUUUCGACCAGCUCGCGACGCAACGGUAUUCUCGGACUACUGACAUCACGACGGGUGUGCACACCAACUGCUCAAUGGUGGGCAGGAGUGCACUCAUACGCGUUGCGAUUAAUGCUCCGAAUUUAUCAACGGUGCUCUGUGACGUCGUUUUCCGCGCAUCCAGCCCGACGAUCUGCCGCGUCGUGGAUCAAGGCUGCACAUGCGUUCUUAACAGAGCCACCUUGGCCGUUUUACAGCUGCCGACUACGAGGCCGCCACCGCGGACGAGUCGGAGUGGCGCAGCGCUGCGCAGGCGCUUGGGUCAUGCGGCAAGACGUCAUUUUUCUCCCAUCUUAUCGGAGAACCAAAGGCGGUCAUAUUGGCCACGUCGUCUCAGCGAGGCGGGAGUGCCCCCUCGCUCUCCGCUGCGUGCGGUUUCGGCAAGAACCUUCUGUUGGCCUGACUGUCGGAGUGGAGGGAACGAUGGCGGCUUGGCUCUUUGACGAGCGAGCGCGAACGUGAACGGGCCCCCGCAGCUCGGCCUUGCUGCCGACUAUAGAGAAGAGCCGAGUCUGCAGCCGAUCGCUGUGAAACGGGUCGGAGCUGCUUGAUCAGCACGGGUCUCCCUCGCAAUACUGACUCGGUCAUGAAUUCUACAUGCACGAUAGCGGUGCGGCAAGGUUAUGCCGCUGGAGAACCUGCGCUUCUCCAAAACCCAGAUUUUCCCAGGUGAGCGCAAGCAACGGUAGAUGGCGCACGCUCUCGCUUCCAAUGCCAACGUGCACAUGCACCGCUGCUGAUGCCGGCGGUGAUGUGGAGGAUGGCGUUGCUCCGGAGCGACCUGCGACCGUGGACACGUGUGUGCCGCCGAUACGAUGGGCGAAGUGUCAGCGCGACUGCAGCGCAUCUCACCCGGCCCUGACUGUGCUGGUGGUGAGGGGAGCCUGAGCGCCCGCCCACGGCUGCACCGCGUGCUGGUUGGGACAAUGCGAGCGUCUGCGAGGCGACCUGCGGGGCGGAUGUGGGUGGGUCGAGCUUGAGGCGGAUGCCGUGCUCAGAUGACUGAGUGGGCGCGUUGCCGUGGCGUGUGUGUGUGUGUGCGGCUGCUUGGCACCACGCGAUGGGGCCCUGUGAGAAUGGCGGGCGGUGCAGCGGACCUGAGCUGAUUCUCUACUUCAGAACGGCCGUAAAGAACAGUAACGACAAACUUCUUCCCACCUGCCCCGUCUUGCCCACUUCUACUGCUCUGUAUCUGUCUCUAUGUGAAACAUCCCCGUUACCGGUCUUUGCUAAUAUGCCCACGCUACAUCGACUACGCCGCAUGCACAACACUUGUCUCACACCAACUUUCCCAUCAG